GAUCCUGGCUCAGAUUGAACGCUGGCGGCAGGCUUAACACAUGCAAGUCGAACGGUAACAUAAAGAAGCUUGCUUCUUUGAUGACGAGUGGCGGACGGGUGAGUAAUGCUUGGGAAUCUAGCUUAUGGAGGGGGAUAACUACGGGAAACUGUAGCUAAUACCACGUAAUAUCGAAAGAUUAAAGUGUGGGACCUUCGGGCCACAUGCCAUAGGAUGAGCCCAAGUGGGAUUAGGUAGUUGGUGAGGUAAGGG
rnacentral:rRNA from 1 species